UGCAGUCGAACGGGAUCCUAGCUUGCUAGGUGAGAGUGGCGGACGGGUGAGUAACACGUGGGAACCUGCCUUUUGGUUCGGGAUAACCGCGGGAAACUGCGGCUAAUACCGAAUGCUCCCGAGAGGGGAAAGAUUUAUCGCCAGAAGAGGGGCCCGCGUCCGAUUAGGUAGUUGGUGGGGUAAUGGCCUACCAAGCCGACGAUCGGUAGCUGGUCUGAGAGGAUGAUCAGCCACACUGGGACUGAGAUACGGCCCAGACUCCUACGGGAGGCAGCAGUGGGGAAUAUUGGACAAUGGGGGCAACCCUGAUCCAGCAAUGCCGCGUGAGUGAUGAAGGCCUUAGGGUUGUAAAGCUCUUUUGCCAGGGAAGAUGAUGACUGUACCUGGAGAAUAAGCCCCGGCUAACUUCGUGCCAGCAGCCGCGGUAAUACGAAGGGGGCUAGCGUUGUUCGGAAUUACUGGGCGUAAAGGGCGCG
rnacentral:rRNA from 1 species